rnacentral:rRNA from 1 species
GGAUGAUGUCAAGUCAGCAUGACCUUUAUAUCCAGGGCUACACACACGCUACAAUGGUCUGUACAAUGGGUAGCCAAGCCGCGAGGCGGAGCCAAUCCUGAAAGCAGGCCUCAGUUCAGAUUGCAGUCUGCAACUCGACUGCAUGAAGCCGGAGUUGCUAGUAACCGCAGGUCAGCAAUACUGCGGUGAAUACGUUCCCGGGUCUU